CCUACGGGGGGCAGCAGUGGGGAAUAUUGCACAAUGGGGGAAACCCUGAUGCAGCGACGCCGCGUGAGUGAAGAAGUAUUUCGGUAUGUAAAGCUCUAUCAGCAGGGAAGAAGUUGACGGUACCUGAGUAAGAAGCCCCGGCUAACUACGUGCCAGCAGCCGCGGUAAUACGUAGGGGGCAAGCGUUAUCCGGAUUUAUUGGGUUUAAAGGGUGCGCAGGCGGCCUGUUAAGUCAGCGGUAAAAGCCCGGGGCUCAACCCCGGCGAGCCGUUGAAACUGGCGGGCUGGAGUUGGAGAGAAGUACG
rnacentral:rRNA from 1 species